rnacentral:rRNA from 1 species
CCCUAUGGGGUGCCGCAAUCGAGACCUACAACGAUCACCGGAUCGCCAUGAGCUUUGCCGUGCUGGGGCUCGUCGCCCCGGGCAUGCGGAUCGAAAACCCGGGCUGCGUGGGGAAAUCCUUCCCCGGCUUCUGGACCGAGCUGGACAAGCUGUAUGGGAGCACUUAACUUCCCCCUUUGAAAAAGGGGGAUGAAGGGGGAUUUUCAAAAUGAUUCUUUUUGCUUUUACCCUAGACUCGAUACCCGAUACCCGAUACCCGAUUUUCGCAUGAACCUCAUCCUCAUCGGGUACCGCGGAAGCGGAAAGACAUCGGUCGGCAGGGAGCUGGCAAAGCUCCUGGAGAGGCCCUUUUUCGACUCGGACCGGAUGGUCUUCGCGAAGACGGGAAGGACCGUCCGCGAGAUCGUCGAGGCGGGGGGGC